CUGCUGCUAAUCCCCCAUAUGCCGCAAGGUGAAACGGGAUACCGCCUGAGAAUGAGCUCGCGUCGGAUUAGCUAGUUGGUAGGGUAAAAGCCUACCAAGGCAACGAUCCGUAGCUGGUCUGAGAGGAUGAGCAGCCACACUGGGACUGAGACACGGCCCAGACUCCUACGGGAGGCAGCAGUGGGGAAUUUUCCGCAAUGGGCGAAAGCCUGACGGAGCAAGACCGCGUGGGGGAGGAAGGCCCUUGGGUUGUAAACCCCUUUUCUCAGGGAAGAAAAAAAUGACGGUACCUGAGGAAUCAGCCUCGGCUAACUCCGUGCCAGCAGCCGCGGUAAUACGGAGGAGGCAAGCAUUAUCCGGAAUCAUUGGGCGUAAAGCGUCCGCAGGUGGCUAAGCAAGUCCGCGGUUAAAGACCGGAGCUCAACUCCGGAAGAGCCGUAGAAACUGUAAAGCUAGAGGUCGGUAGGGGUAGCGGGAAUUCCCAGUGUAGCGGUGAAAUGCGUAGAGAUUGGGAAGAACAUCGGUGGCGAAAGCGCGCUACUGGGCCGAAACUGACACUGAGGGACGAAAGCUAGGGGAGCGAAAGGGAUUAGAUACCCCUGUAGUC
rnacentral:rRNA from 1 species